rnacentral:rRNA from 1 species
UACGUAGGCAGCAAGCGUUGUUCGGAAUUACUGGGCGUAAAGAGUGUGUAGGCGGUGCUCUAAGUCUGUUGUGAAAUCUCCCGGCUUAACUGGGAGGGUGCGGCGGAGACUGGAGUGCUAGAGUGUGGGAGAGGUAAGCGGAAUUCCUGGUGUAGCGGUGAAAUGCGCAGAUAUCAGGAGGAACACCGGUGGCGAAGGCGGUCCUCUGGGCAUUACCUGACGCUGAGGAGCGAAAGUGUGGGGAGCGAACAGG